rnacentral:rRNA from 1 species
GAUGAACGCUGGCGGCGUGCCUAAUACAUGCCAGUCGAGCGAACGGACGAGAAGCUUGCUUUUCUGAUGUUAGCGGCGGACGGGUGAGUAACACGUGGAUAACCUACCUAUAAGACUGGGAUAACUUCGGGAAACCGGAGCUAAUACCGGAUAAUAUUUUGAACCGCAUGGUUCAAAAGUGAAAGACGGUCUUGCUGUCACUUAUAGAUGGAUCCGCGCUGCAUUAGCUAGUUGGUAAGGUAACGGCUUACCAAGGCAACGAUGCAUAGCCGACCUGAGAGGGUGAUCGGCCACACUGGAACUGAGACACGGUCCAGACUCCUACGGGAGGCAGCAGUAGGGAAUCUUCCGCAAAGGGCGAAAGCCUGACGGAGCAACGCCGCGUGAGUGAUGAAGGUCUUCGGAUCGUAAAACUCUGUUAUUAGGGAAGAACAUAUGUGUAAGUAACUGUGCACAUCUUGACGGUACCUAAUCAGAAAGCCACGGCUAACUACGUG